rnacentral:lncRNA from 1 species
UCAGUCUAAUCUUCCUAUGUGUCUAGACCCACCAUGUAUAUGACUGUCUAUCAAACGAUGGGCUGGUAGUGCAUGCCUGCAUCUCUUCUACAUGUCCCCUGCCUUUCUACCUUUAGACAUUCCUGACUGCAGGGGACUUCUGGGUUCUAUUCUAGGUUCUGCCACUGGCUCACUGUGUGGCCAUGUAUAUGUCACUUAACUGUUGUCUUAAUUUUCCUUUCUGUACAAUGGGGAUAAAAUCAUGAGGCUUCAUUAGUGCAUUGUGAGACCCUCAGUGCUGUAAUGUGCAAAGUGUUAUCAUUAGGUGGUGUAACACCCCUUCGGUCCCACGCAUUGCUCAGUGCGGUGCAGCCUGAUUGCAUCCAUCCUAACCAAGGGGCUCAGAAUGGCUAACUCUCUGCUGCUCGUUCCCAGAUCGCACUUCCAGCCACUACCCCGUCUAUCAGAAGCAGCAUCUAUACAACAGCAAUCCUGGCUGGGAUUUUGGUCCUUUCCGAAGACUGGACCACCUUAUUCGGGAGACUCACCUCAACAUCUCCAGGUUUGCCCAUGUUUUCCUAGAUCCUGGGAGAUACGUUUUUAGGGAUAGCACCAUCCAGGAGCGUAUCUUGAUCGUGGCUGUAAACGAGGAGAACAUGGGCUGUGACCCUGUCAACGCUUCCUUCCAGCCCUCCUCUCCAUACCAGCUGGCCAGACACGGGGUUCUGAAACAUCGGGCACUAAAUUUAGCUCCUGACUGGGCAACUAUCUCAGCGGUGCUCUUUGUCCUGGGCUGCUUGACAGUUGUGCUGAUGACCCUGGCUAUCAUGCUGAGGCCCCCCAUUUCCAGCCCCAGUCCCAUGAACAACUGGAAGCCACGGUGGAGGAGCCUGGGUGAGCCACACAUCCCACCCGAGUACAUCUUCAUUAAAGACA